CCGUCAUUUAUAUAAAGCGCAGAGAAAUUGUCCAGCAUUGAUGGACUUCAAUUGGUCACAAAUGUAGGCAAACACAGGGAUUGCAUUUUAGAUGCCAAUUCAACUCGACUAAGGAACCAAAGGCAAGAAUGGCAUUAUAUACAUAAAUGAUCUCAAAGGAAAACCAGGAUGUUCUGGCAUAGCCUUAAAAAAUGUUUUAGAGAGUCGGACAAGGCCAAUAAAUAAAAUACGCGUUGCUAAUACAAUUUACUUUCAAUUGUUUAGUUAUCUAUGCAACCGGAAGUCGUACUUUGUCACAAAAACUGAUUGAAACGAGAAGGGACGUGUGAGACGCGUCACAACUUUUAUACCCGGUAAUCAGUAGAACAUCUGUACCUUAAUGGUUUUUUCCAAUCUUAAAUUUUACAUUUUACAGUUUUUCUACAUCUUUCAUCAACAUCUUCAUCUACAUCACUUCUCACACCAACACGCUCCUUUAGCUCGACGCCAUUCCCUAGACCCACACACUGCAGACUCGCGGCAGAGGCAGGGGCCGAAGCAGAGUGUUAAUGAGAGAAUGUGAAUAAAAC
rnacentral:lncRNA from 1 species